rnacentral:lncRNA from 1 species
CCUUUCAAUCAACCUCCUGUAUAUUGUUGGAUAUAGUACUAGAUCUCCUUCAUCCUUUAAAAGUUUAAUAUUCUGGUCUAGGGGGAGCGGUGAGGUUUUGCUUUCUAGAACUCCUGUAUUUAAGGUCUAAGGCAUAUUUCCUCUGGCAUUAUGAACCUCUCUCUUUGACCCAGCAACUUUAAUGCGAAGGAAAUACUUUAAAUUUCUUAAAUCCUUAAUUU